rnacentral:rRNA from 1 species
GACGAACGCUGGCGGCGUGCCUAAUACAUGCAAGUCGAACGCAGUGGGGACGGGUGAGUAACACGUGGCUAACCUCCCAUCAGAGGGGAUACCACUUGGAAACAGGUGCUAAUCCGAUACUGAUGGAUGGACCCGCGGUGGAUUAGCUAGUUGGUGAGGUAACGGCUCACCAAGGCCACGAUGAAUAGCCGACCGCGGAGGGUGAUCGGCAGCACUGGGACUGAGACAAGGCCCAGACACCUACGGGAGGCAGCAGGAGGGAAUCGUCGGCAAUGGGCGAAAGUCUGACCGAGCAACGACGCGUGAGUGAAGAAGGUUUUCGGAUCGUAAAACUCUGUUAUUGGAGAAUCGGUAUCUAACCAAAAAGCUACGGCUAACUACGGGCCAGCAGCCGCGGUAAUAC